GACGAACCGUGCGAACGUUGUUCGGAAUCACUGGGCUUGAAGGGCGCGUAGGCGGCCUGCCAAGUCCGGGGUGAAAGCCUCCAGCUUAACUGGAGAAGUGCCCUGGAUACUGGCGGGCUCGAGGGAGGCAGGGGUCGUGGGAACUUCCGGUGGAGCGGUGAAAUGCGUUGAUAUCGGAAGGAACGCCGGUGGCGAAAGCGCACGACUGGUCCUCUUCUGACGCUGAGGCGCGAAAGCCAGGGGAGCAAACGGG
rnacentral:rRNA from 1 species